rnacentral:lncRNA from 1 species
ACGCCUUUUUUUUCUCAUCUGCGAAGUGAAUUAGUGUUUUUUUCAGGCGAGUGACUUUUUUUGUUUGUGUGUGUGUGACAUGGAGCACGGCCAGCCCCAGAAGAAAAAAAAAAGUCGCGCCAUCGCAGACGCGGCAGCUGUGGGGAGAGUGGGAAACAGCGCUCCUAAUAGAUAUGUGGGAGGACCGCCUGAUGGACUUACGCCGACAGAAGCGUAAUAGCGGAAUUUACGACGAGAUCGCCGCGGCCUUGCGACAGGAGGGCUUUGAAAGAACGCGCGUUCAAGUGCAGCACAAGAUCGAAAAUCUUGCACAGACUUAUCGGUAAGUGGCUUUCGUAAAUUUGUCCGCUGACCUUACGAUUAACCGUUUGAGUCUCACCAGGGCUUGGCCGUGGGAGAGAGAGGUGCUUAUUGAGAAAAAAAUGAACAGGUGGAUCUUCGCAGAAAUUGAUUUGUCGUGGAAUUUUUUGUUCCGCCACCCCAUGACACUUUUAAUGAGCUGUAAACUCGGCCUCGAACGAGCAUAACUUCAAGAAUAUUGGUUGCGCAUGACGCAGUUGGUUAGUGUCUAAACUCAAGGCAAUUGACUAAUGUGACUUUAAGGGUUCCGAUGCGGAAAAUUACAACGCAGCACACAGUGCGAAAGUUAUAGUCGCGUGACGUGGAUUUCAAAAAACAGUUUGGCUACACAAGACUGUCUGGUGUUCCUGUUCCACUUUUCCCUCAGUUCGGCGAAUUUGAUCAGUAUAUUUUCUUAUCUGUGCCCGCCGAUGCCUCUUUAUUGUUAAUCAAACCUUCUCGUUUAUAACAUUCCAGGUUUUGGCUAAAAAUCAGAAAACAGGUGCUGGCGCCAUUCCUUGGGCACAUUUCUGGCGUAUUCACAGUUUCCUGGGGACAUUCCCGGUCAAUGAUCCAUCAAGGGCUCAAAAGAGCUAAGUGACUGUUGAAGAGGUCAUCAUGGAAAUGGUAAACGGCAGCGAAAGUGCUGCCGUCGACAUUGACAAUGGGCUGCAGUGGGAGGACAGUGCGCCCAUAAGACCCCUGGACAGCCCAGGACUGAACUCCCUGCCCACGUGCAGCCCAGCCUCCAGCAGUCCGGCCUCUCCCAGUCCGGCCUCUCCCAGCCUGGCCUCUCCCAGCCCGGCCUCCUCCAGUCCUGCCUCCUGCAGCCCCGCUAUCAGCAGUGCCAACCCUGGUAGCUUGGCUACUACAAGCAGGGGUGCAAAGAAGAGGAAGGCGGGUGACGACCUAAAGCAUCAGAUAUUGGCUGAGCAUGUACUGUUGAGGGAGCAGCUGGUGGCUAGCCGCCAGAGAGAGUUUGAACAGAGAGAAAGACUAAUACAAAUGCAAAAAAGUUUUUUAAUUCAAUGGCAAAAUAUUUGGAAAGAAAUUCGAAAUAAAGUUGCAUUUGCUGUGAUUGUAUGGACGCCUCAUUUUCCAUUUCUUACUUCGCCCAUCUUGUGGGUUUUGUACAGAA